GCACCUUAGAAACCAACUAAGUUUGUUCUUGGUAUAAGAUUCCAUGUGCAUGCACAAUUCUGUGUAUCUGAAGAGGUGUGCAUGCAAACGAAAGCUUAUACCAAGAACAAACUUAGUUGGUCUCUAAGGUGC